CCUUUAAACAUUUAUUUUACAUUAACAAAAUCAUAUACAAAAAUACUUUAAUCAAAUUCUGUCCAUAUCAACAGAACAAAACACUGUAACAGUAAACCUGAUUGAUUCACCCCAGCACAAAGACGUCACCCCACAAUGGCUUCUUGUCAAAAAGGGAUACUUUUAUACGAUUGACAAACAGAUUGGACUGUUAAGUUGAAAAUGGCCUGGUUUCUCAGCAUCAAUAGAGCUUAAGGCUUAUGAGUGUUUUAACAAUGCACCUUUCCUGCAACAGACAGAAAAUGUUUCCCAAAGCCUCUGGACAGAGUGCAUGUCGUUAGACUAUGUCGACGCACUCAUGAUCAAAAGAAAGGGAGCACUGCCCUUGGAUCAGAUUUCUCCAUUCAAAUCUUACAACAAAAUAAUUAUUUCACAAUCUGAUGACAGCUAAAAACAUUGUCACCUAUCUAAAUACUGACUGAUGGCUUAAAAGGCUUACCCUUUAAUUAUACUAAUAACAAACCCUACACACCACAAGAGGCCAGUGAGAUAACCUACAGUUCACUAAAAGGUAUACUCAAGACCCUUUCACAAAUUCUGUUUCAUUGACUUGGAUUUAAAUAUUUUCUUUCCAUUAAUUCCAUUAACUACCCCAUAAUGGCAAAGCGAAAACAAUUUUAGAAAUGUGCCAAUUUUACUACAUAAGUAGCCCUUUCAGAGCAUUUGUAAUGAAACUCCAAAUUGAACUCCAAUGCAUCUUGUGUCACUUUUAGGAUUCUCUGCUGCUAUGGUAACUAUAUGUUCUCAUAUUACGCUUAUUUUGUACUGUACUGUAAAUUGCACUUGGAUGCUGGGGGAACAUAAUUCCCAAAAUACUUUCCAAAGGCACCAUACUGCGGUCUUAAUGCCAUUUUAUCUUAACUGGAAACAUUUUAUAUCCUACCGUAGUUUGUAAGAACUGUAAACAUUUAUUUGUAGUCAGAAAAUGAACAAACACCUAUACCUAUUAAUUCAAUGUUUUACAGAGAUUUUGCAUAAAGUAAUAUUGAAGAGAAA
ensembl:lncRNA